rnacentral:rRNA from 1 species
CCUACGGGAGGCAGCAGUGGGGAAUUUUGGACAAUGGGCGCAAGCCUGAUCCAGCAAUGCCGCGUGAGUGAAGAAGGCCUUCGGGUUGUAAAGCUCUUUUGUCAGGGAAGAAACGGUGGAGGCUAAUAUCCUUUGCUAAUGACGGUACCUGAAGAAUAAGCACCGGCUAACUACGUGCCAGCAGCCGCGGUAAUACGUAGGGUGCAAGCGUUAAUCGGAAUUACUGGGCGUAAAGCGUGCGCAGGCGGUUUUGUAAGUUUGUCGUGAAAUCCCCGGGCUCAACCUGGGAAUGGCGAUGAAGACUGCAAGGCUAGAAUCUGGCAGAGGGGGGUAGAAUUCCACGUGUAGCAGUGAAAUGCGUAGAGAUGUGGAGGAACACCGAUGGCGAAGGCAGCCCCCUGGGUCAAGAUUGACGCUCAUGCACGAAAGCGUGGGGAGCAAACAGGAUUAGAUACCCUGGUAGUCCACGCCCUAAACGAUGUCUACUAGUUGUCGGGUUUUAAUUAACUUGGUAACGCAGCUAACGCGUGAAGUAGACCGCCUGGGGAGUACGGUCGCAAGAUUAAAACUCAAAAUGAGUACGACGAGACGNGCGACGACGACGACGAGGGAGUAGG